UGGCAGGAGGUGGCCAGGGACUCAGUCCCUGGGGCGGCCAACUCAGUUCUGCCUUACAGGAGACAGAGCCUCCACGCAGUUCCCAAAUGCAUCCAUGCUGUUCCAUGCAGUUUCACACUGUUCCAUCUUCCACAGGAAGGUCUGCAAAGACCUGAAUUCCUUGCACCCUGGGGUCUCCAUUUGAAGGCCUGAAGCACCAAAGAGAAGGAACCUGAGAUUCCAAGAGAAACUGAUUCUGUGGCUCUGAAACCUGGCUCUUUCCUCUGCACCUGCUGACCAAGAUCUCAGCUUCCGGAAGAGGACACGAUAAGGACUAAGGGCUUCAGAUGUACCCCACAAUCUGAACAAUUAUAUUUUUAUUUCAAAAUAAUGUUAUUACAACCCAAAUAGUGAAAUUAACAGUAUAUAAUAAAUUACACGCAUCUACAUCUGUAUACAUAUACAUAUACACCC
rnacentral:lncRNA from 1 species